rnacentral:rRNA from 1 species
AUGAACGCUGACAGAAUGCUUAACACAUGCAAGUCAACUUGACUGGUUUUCGGAUCAGUUGGGUGGCGCACGGGUGAGUAACGCGUGAAGAACUUGCCUCUUAGACUGGGACAACUAUUAGAAAUGAUAGCUAAUACCGGAUAGUAUCAUGUUAUGGCAUCAUAAUAUGAUGAAAGAUAUAUCGCUAAGAGAGAGCUUCGCGUCCCAUUAGCUAGUUGGUAGUGUAAUGGACUACCAAGGUGACGAUGGGUAGCCGGCCUGAGAGGGUGGACGGCCACAAGGGGACUGAGACACGGCCCUUACUCCUACGGGAGGCAGCAGUGGGGAAUAUUGGACAAUGGGCCACGAGCCUGAUCCAGCAAUUCUGUGUGAAUGAUGAAGGCUUUCGGGUCGUAAAGUUCUUUCGGCAGGGAAGAAGAAAGUGACGGUACCUGCAUAAGAAGCGACGGCUAAUUACGU